CGAAUAAGUCUCUUGUCUGCGGAGGCUUUUAGAUUCACUUAAUACGAUAAUCAAAUAUUUCUUUUUUGUUCUGAUGGAAUUUUUAAAAACUUUAUACUGUUUGUGUGGCAACACUAUUUUCAAACCCAACCGAACCGCCAAUCUAACCGCGGUCUGUCAUUUCGUUUCUAAAGUGCUUGGCUGGAUUAUCCACACUCGUGCUUUUUAUUCAAAUUUAAAAUUCAAGAACGUUUUUUAUAUUCACCUAAAUACUAUAAAUUUUGGAUUUUUUUUAGUAAUGGCUGAGCAGCAAGCUGUCCCCGAUCCCCGUCACCCUGAGGCUCCCAGGCCACCUGGAGCUCCUCUUGUAGUUUCCCUACAAAGGGAACUCGAGGUGGUUUUCUCGGGAUGAUAACUUUUAUGUGGUCAGUCGCUCGAGGGGGGCCUCGACAAUCAUGAGGUGCGCCAGCGACCGGUGUCCAGCGCACUGGAUACUGCGGGAUGGGAUUUAUUACUCUAAGUAAUUCAAAAACUGCGAUUUCGACACUCAACGUUUAAAGCUGGACCGACGAUUGGGCAGCACAAUCAUUCCCCUACUCCCUGGGUGCUUAAUUGCAAUACAAUGUUCCAGGAACUAAAGAGGAGGGCUUCAGAGGAGAGUAUUCCUCUGAAUGCCAUAUAUGAGGAAGAAGCUGCCAGAUAUCCGGAUGCUGCAUCUCACCUGCUCUACGAGAGUGUGCUGCCAUCGAUGCGGAAGUGGAGGAGAAACUCACAGUCGGCUCAGCCACUCACCUUGGAGGAAUAUGCGGUGGCCUAAUAAGGCUUGUUAAGUCCUGUUCUCGCCACUGUGUCGGUGGCGGAAGGAAAAGCUGUCAUAUUAGUCAUGCGCGGUUUCGAACGUUGCAUCGCUGACAGUGAAGUGCUAGUCAUCGAUGGAACAUUCCUGACUGUCCCAGCUGGAUUGUCAAUUUGCCAAAUUUUAACGGUACACAGUAUAAUUGCUGGACACAAUUUUCAUCCUGCUGUAGUCCUGAUGCAGAACCGUCCUCUGUAUGAGGCAGUUUUCCUUAGAAUUUGGCAAGCAGCUGGCAAUCCAAGACCACAACAAAUUAUAACAGAUUAGAGAGUGCAAACGAGCAGAUUGUUGGACGUAGGCGUUGAGGCUGUUGUAGAUAACGUCCCAGAAUUCGCUCAAGAAGUUGUCAUUGCAGACAACAUUGAGCAGGUAGCACUGGAGGUGGUCCAGGCUCCUAUUCUGGAACCCGCCGAUGUCCUGCCCGCGUCUCCCCCCCGCCACGAUUUUGAUCGCGAACCUCAACCCCUUCGUUGCAACAUCUGUGCGACUAACCCACUCGAGGUGGUGUUGAUCCCAUGCGGUCACACGCAAUGCCAAACUUGU